CCUCCCAGCCGAGGGGAUUCUCCUGGAGCCUGGCUGCAGGGGCCUGUGCCGGGAGCUGCAGGAUCUGAGCUCUGCCUCUCUCUGAUAGUGCAGCUGGCAGAGGCAUCACGACGCCAUCCACAAGUCCCAGAGAGCAGUGACACACUUGAACUCUCAUCCAUGCUUCUGUGAUAUCCCUCACUAUUCAUAGUGUCACAACUUGACAGUUUGGACAAGAGCAUCCCUGACCUAGAGGCAUCUAACUUCAAAUCCAUUAGUCCAGGGGUUAGCAACCUUUCAGAAAACAUCAAGUACAGCUGUGAUGUAUACAAACCCCACACUGGACCACCACACCUGCAAGACGUGGACAGCCUGGAGGAGGAGUUAAAAAGGAAGCAGAACAGCUCACUUGUGGGCAGACCAGUGAAGAAGGGGAGAGACUUUGAAGGGACCUGGCCAGAGGGCCAAAUCACUGGAAGACGCAGGCCACUGCAGAGGCAGAAUAGCCAGCAGCAGCAGCCCCAGUGGAGAGCGAGCUGCCACACCAGGCCCGGCCACGAGGAGGCGCCAGCGGUGAGUCAACCCCUUCACAAGCAAAACUCAACCCCCUGAGAAGCAGAACAUC